rnacentral:rRNA from 1 species
UACGUAGGGUGCAAGCGUUAAUCGGAAUUACUGGGCGUAAAGCGUGCGCAGGCGGUGAUGUAAGACAGGUGUGAAAUCCCCGGGCUUAACCUGGGAACUGCAUUUGUGACUGCAUCGCUGGAGUGCGGCAGAGGGGGAUGGAAUUCCGCGUGUAGCAGUGAAAUGCGUAGAUAUGCGGAGGAACACCGAUGGCGAAGGCA